rnacentral:rRNA from 1 species
GAAUAUUGCACAAUGGGCGAAAGCCUGAUGCAGCAACGCCGCGUGCGGGAAGAAGGCCCUAGGGUUGGAAACCGCUUUCAGCAUGGAAGAAAAUGACGGUACCUGCAGAAGAAGGUGCGGCCAACUACGUGCCAGCAGCCGCGGUGACACGUAGGCACCAAGCGUUGUCCGGAUUUAUUGGGCGUAAAGAGCUCGUAGGCGGUUCAGUAAGUCGGGUGUGAAAACUCUGGGCUCAACCCAGAGACGCCACCCGAUACUGCUGUGACUUGAGUACGGUAGGGGAGUGGGGAAUUCCUGGUGUAGCGGUGAAAUGCGCAGAUAUCAGGAGGAACACCAGUGGCGAAGGCGCCACUCUGGGCCGUAACUGACGCUGAGGAGCGAAAGCGUGGGGAGCAAACAGG